GCUCUCCACCUGACAUACAUCUCUCUGGGGCAGCAAGGGAGUGCAGGCUACCUGCUUGAAUUGGAGGAAUGAAAAGGGAAGAUACAAAAAGAAACAAAUCAAUAUCCGAAAAUAUGCAGCCAUAAAGGUUCUUCUAAAACAGCUUUCACUGAACAGUGAACACUCUUGCUGUGUUGCAAAGAUGAAAGCAAAAUUCCAUGUGUGAAGCCCAAAUUGAAAUCACAGAAGGCAGGAUUCACACUGCUAAUUGUUGCUUAGCAAUAAAAUGUGCAAAACCUGCUAAUGGAACAGUGACACCAGGCACCAGAGGCAUCUGUAUCCACACUGGCAGUAAAUUAGGGAAUUAGAAACUCUACAGUAACAGCAACAAAAGGAAUUCCAUCUCUUAGGAACCCAGGGAGGGUUUCUGCACUCAUUCCUGCUUACUGCUCAGUUGAAAAGAAAGUCUCUUCAUCCACUAGAUACUGCUAUUGUGACACUUGAAGACUGCAAGGAAAUAGAAGCUCGGAGGUUCAGAUUAUUCUAAAAGUGUCCCUGACGGAUUUGCACGUGCCUGCAAAAAAUAGUAUUUUUUUCCCCUGUUGAAAAGAUUUGCAGUAAAGAUAGACCUUCAAAUGCCAGCUUGUACGUUUGCUAAGGCAGCAGAGUGGGACAAAAAGCUCUGUCACUGCCACCUCAUCACAGGUGUUCUGUGGGUAGUAGUCAGCCUCCAGCAUAGAGACCGUGUGUCAGGAACCAAAACAAAAUAGCCAGGUAUAGUGGCACAUGCCUGUAGUCCAAACUACUCAGGAGGGUAAGCAGGGAGGAUCACUUGAGCCCAGAACUUCGAGGCUGCAGUAAGCCAUGAUCGCAUCGCACCACUGCACUCCUGCCUGGGGGACAAAGCAAGACCCUGUCUCAAAAAAACGCUAUCAAGAGCUGCAUACUGAAACAAAUUCAUUUAUUUCGCAGUUAUCUAGCCUGCCUUUAAUGACAACCUGUUAUUCCCUAAAUUGGUGAAUGAAAAAAAUCCAGAUGUUUAGCAACCCAACGGACACUUUGUAAAUGCUUUUUAUUGAAGUAUACCUAACACACUGUAAAGUCCACACAUUUUAUCAGUAUUUCUCAAUACAUUUUUUCACUUACAUAGUGUAUACCCAUGUAACCGACUACAUCGAUCAAGACUUAGAAAUUCCCAGCACUCUUGAAUGUUCUUGCAAGCAAUAUUGCCCCCCAAAUAACCAUCAUUUUAACAUCUACCACAGCAGAUUAGUUGUGCCUAUUGUUGAACUUCAUAUACAUAAGGUCACUGAGUAUUUUACUGUUUAAUGUCUAGCUUCUUUCACUCAACAUUAUGUCUGAGAGAUUCAUCCAUGUUGCAAUUAGUAUUUUUUAUUGCAGUGUAGUAUUCCAUUGUGCAAAUAUCCACAAUGGUUUAUUUACCCAUUCUCCUUUGAUGGACAUUUGGGGUUAUUUUCCCAUUUGAACUACUAUGAAUAAAGCUGCUAUAAACAUUCUUGUAUAUAUCUUUUGGCAGACAUAAGCACACAUUUCUGUUAGGCAUCCACCCAGGAGUGGAACUGCUAAAUAGGUAAAUGUUUAGCUUUGGCACAUACUGCCAAGUUUUCCAAGUAGUUGUGCCAAACUGCACACCUGCCAGAGAUGGAGUUUCACAUUCCCCACAUACUUGCCAAGAAUUUGGUAUUGUUAGUCUUUUAAUGUAGCUAUACUGGUGAAGUAUUGUGGUUUUAAUUUGCAUUUUUCUAAUGACUAGUGAUACUGAACAUCUUUUUUAAUGUUUAAGAUGCUUUUGUUUACAUUUUUUACAAGACUGAGAAAAUCUUAAUUAUCCCUAUCAAAGAGAAAUAUCAUUUCCAUGUGGGUGGCAGGGAAGUGAAAUUUCCCCUAUCUAGCAUGCUCUGAAAACCAGGGAGGAAAUUGACACUAGAUUCUGAAGAAGAGAGCAGUCUUCCUUGAGGAAAAGAGCCCUUUCCUUGGGCAAGUGGUUAAUAUGGCAUUGGGCCUUCAGGGUGUGGGUGGAAGCUGGUGGAAUGCUUAUGAACACCUUUUUAUAUGCUCAUUGGCUAUUUAAAUAUAGUCUUUUGUAAUAACGCUCCAGCAGAUAUGUUUGAAAAGGGCUGCGGUUUCAAAUGAUCAUGAUGCAAGUCUGCUGAUCUUGUGGGCCUCAGAGAGACUAUGUCCUGAUUAGCAAAGGAUGCCAGAGCCAUUACUUUUGUAAAAAGGGAAGCCUCAAGAAUGAGCUGCAUGUCACUGGAGCUAUUUUAGCAAAGACUAGACAGAAAGUAAAUUAGUAGAAGAAUGUAAAUACCAGCUGCAAGAUGAGACUAAAUAUACUUAAAUGUCUCUUCCAACACUGGUAAGUGCUACAGGGAUUCAACUAUUGCUCGAUCAGUGAAAACUGGAAGGCAGAGGGUGGAAGUCAGGGCAUGAACCUGUUAACUGUUGAGUAUCUAUUGUGUGCCAAAGACAGUACUAAGCCUUUACAUGCAUUAUUUCAUUUAAUUCUCACAACAAUCAUAUACAGUAGAUAGUAUCUAUAUUAGUUAUUUAUUGCUCCAUAAUAAUAUUACCACAAAUUUAGCAACUUAAAACAACAUACUUUAUUAUUUCAUGGUUUUCUGGGUCAGAAGUCCAGCCAUGGCUGAGCUAGGUCCUCUGCUAGGCUAUAAUCAAGGUGUGGGCCAGAACCGGGCUCUCAUCUGAGGCACAACUGGGGAAGGAUCAGCUUCCAAGCACAUGACUGUUGGCAGCAUUCAGUUUCUUGCAGGCUGCCAGACUGAGGGCCUCAGUCUCUUUUUGACUGUUGUCUACUUUCAGCUCCUGCCACGUGGCCCUUUCCAUGAGGCAGCUCAUAACCUGGCAGCUUGCUUCUUCAAAGCAUAAGGAAG
rnacentral:lncRNA from 10 species